AGUCUGGUGCCAGCAGCCGCGGUAAUUCCAGCUCCAAUAGUGUAUAUUAAUGUUCCUGCAGUUAUUCGAUGCUCGUAGUUGGAUUUCUGGGGGCUGAGAUUGGAAGGUGGCCAAGGUCACCGCCGAACUCUUCCUUCAUCCACCUGUUAACGUUGUCCGGGAUUUGUUUCUCGGCUUCAGGCUCAGGUAUUUUACCCUUUCUAUAUAUUCAUUUAUUUAUCUUCUUUUUGGGUAAAUUAUAGUGUUUCAGGCAGGCGUGCGCCGGAAUACUUUAGCAUGGAAUAAUCGAAUUGGACCGUGUAUUCUUAUAGAAUUCUUCCUUAUUUGUUGGUUUCAAGGACACGGAAAUGGUUAAUAGGGAUAGUGUUUUCAGGGGAGGCAUUAGUAUUUAAUUUCCAGAGGUGAAAUUCUUUGAAAUAUUAAAGACUAACUUAUGCGAAAGCAUUUAUUUUGCCAAUAAUGUUUUCAUUAAUCAUUGAACGAAAGUUAGGGGAUCAAAGACGAUCAGAUACCGUCCUAGUCUUAACCAUAAACGUUGCCGACUAGGGAUCGGAGGGCGUGCACAUUCCGCCUUCGGCACCUUACGAGAAAUCAAAGUCUUUUGGGUUCUGGGGGUAGUAUGGUCGCAAGGCUGAAACUUAAAGGAAUUGACGGAAGGGCACCACCAGGAGUGGAGCUUGCGGCUCAAUUUGACUCAACACGGGAAAUCUUACCAGGUCCAGACAUAGCGAGGAUUGACAGAUUGAUAGCUCUUUCUUGAUUCUAUGGGUAUUUAUUUUAAUUUUGGUGGUGCAUGGCCGUUCUUAGUUGGUGGAGUGAUUUGUCUGGUUAAUUCCGUUAAACGAACGAGACCUCAGCCUGCUAAAUAGUUACCUGUCUUUCUUUUACGAGACUUGAUAACUUCUUAGAGGGACGUUGUGUGCAACCACAAGGAAGUUGAGGCAAUAACAGGUCUGUGAUGCCCUUAGAUGUCCUGGGCCGCACGCGUGCUACACUGAUACGUACAACAAGGUAUAUGCAUUUAUGCAUCGAUGCUGCUCCGAAAUAGACACAGCUAAAUCUUCUAAAAUACGUAUCGUGCUGCGGAUAGAUCGUUGAAAUUAUGGAUCUUGAAGGUGGAAUUCCUAGUAAGCGCGGGUCAUCAACCCGCGUUGAUUACGUCCCUGCCCUUUGUACACACCGCCCGUCGCUCCUACCAAUUUCGAGUGGCUCGGUGAACCUCUUUGGACUGUCGAGCAAUCGCGAAAUUAGAGUGAACCUGGUCAC
rnacentral:rRNA from 1 species